GUCGGAGGAAGGGCGGCCGCCCGUCCUGCUUGUCGGGGUGGGAGGAAAGUCCAGACAGCGCAGAGCAGGGUGCUCGGCGUAAGCCGAGGCCGGGUAACCGGUAGCUAGAGCCACAGAGACGUAGGCCCGACCCUUCGGGGUUCGGGAGUGAAACGGGUAAUCCUCCCCGCUGCAACCCCAAGCACGGCCGUCGACGCUGCUCGCCGAGGCCGGGGUAGGGGGCACCCCGAGUGAUCGGGGGCUCGCCCGCGUUCCGUAAGGCCGGGGGCAAGCAGAUAGAUGGUCGCCUAAAACAGAAUCUGGCUUACUCUCCUCCGACGCUC
rnacentral:RNase_P_RNA from 1 species